UACGUAGGGGGCAAGCGUUGUCCGGAAUCAUUGGGCGUAAAGCGCGUGUAGGCGGUUCUGUAAGUCUGCUGUGAAAGUCCAGGGCUCAACCCUGGGAUGCCGGUGGAUACUGCAGGGCUAGAGUACGGAAGAGGCGAGUGGAAUUCCUGGUGUAGCGGUGGAAUGCGUAGAGAUCGGGAAGAACAUCAGUGGCGAAGGCGGUCUGCUGGGCCGUUGCUGACGCUGAGGCGCGACAGCGUGGGGGAGCAAACAGG
rnacentral:rRNA from 1 species